rnacentral:rRNA from 1 species
GACGAACGCUGGCGGCGUGCUUAACACAUGCAAGUCGAGCGGUAAGGCCCCUUCGGGGGUACACGAGCGGCGAACGGGUGAGUAACACGUGAGCAAUCUGCCCUUCACACGGGGAUAACUUCGGGAAACCGGAGCUAAUACCCGAUACGACCACCUCGGGCAUCCGAUGGUGGUGGAAAGCUCCGGCGGUGAAGGAUGAGCUCGCGGCCUAUCGGCUUGUUGGUGGGGUAACGGCCCACCAAGGCAACGACGGGUAGCCGGCCUGAGAGGGUAACCGGCCACACUGGGACUGAGACACGGCCCAGACUCCUACGGGAGGCAGCAGUGGGGAAUAUUGGACAAUGGGCGAAAGCCUGAUCCAGCAACGCCGCGUGAGGGAUGACGGCCUUCGGGUUGUAAACCUCUUUCAGCAGGGACGAAGCGCAAGUGACGGUACCUGCAGAAGAAGCACCGGCCAACUACGUGCCAGCCGCCGCGGUAAUAC